GUGCCUACGGGAGGCAGCAGUGGGGAAUAUUGCGCAAUGGGCGAAAGCCUGACGCAGCGACGCCGCGUGAGGGAUGAAGGUCUUCGGAUCGUAAACCUCUGUCAGCAGGGAAGAACGGUCACUGUGCUAAUCAGCAGUGAAUUGACGGUACCUGCACAGGAAGCACCGGCUAACUCCGUGCCAGCAGCCGCGGUAAUACGUAGGUGGCAAGCGUUAUCCGGAUUUAUUGGGCGUAAAGGGCGUGUAGGCGGGAGCGCCAGUCCGAUGUGAAAACUCAGGGCUCAACCC
rnacentral:rRNA from 1 species